CGGUCUGCUUAACACAUGCAAGUCGAACGGGCUCUUCGGAGCUAGUGGCGGACGGGUGAGUAACGCGUGAGAAUCUGCCUUCAGGAGGGGGAUAACGACUGGAAACGGUCGCUAAUACCCCAUAUGCCUCCGGGUGAAAAGUAAUUCGCCUGAAGAUGAGCUCGCGUCAGAUUAGCUAGUUGGUGGGGUAAGAGCCUACCAAGGCGACGAUCUGUAGCUGGUCUGAGAGGAUGAUCAGCCACACUGGGACUGAGACACGGCCCAGACUCCUACGGGAGGCAGCAGUGGGGAAUUUUCCGCAAUGGGCGCAAGCCUGACGGAGCAAGACCGCGUGGGGGCUCACGGNCUAAUGGUUGUAAACCCCUUUUCUCUGGGAAGAAGACUGACGGUACCAGAGGAAUCAGCCUCGGCUAACUCCGUGCCAGCAGCCGCGGUAAUACGGAAGGAGGCAAGCGUUAUCCGGAAUUAUUGGGCGUAAAGCGUCCGUAGGUGGUUAUUCAAGUCUGCUGUCAAAGCGUGGGGCUUAACUCCAUAGAGGCAGUGGAAACUGAGUGACUAGAGUGCGGUAGGGGUCGAGGGAAUUCCCAGUGUAGCGGUGAAAUGCGUAGAUCUUGGGAAGAACACCAGUGGCGAAAGCGCUCGACUGGGCCUGCACUGACACUGAGGGACGAAAGCU
rnacentral:rRNA from 1 species